rnacentral:lncRNA from 10 species
CAAUGAUGAAAAUGCUCUAUAUCCACACUAUCCAAUAUGGUUCUGCUUGAAUUCUUGCCCUGGCUCUUGGUGAAGGAUCGGCCUGCUGGAUCUGAGUCAUCCACCUAUAAGAGGGACAACACCACACAUUGGUCGCUGCUCUCAAGCCCCUGGAAUACCACCCCACUUGGCUUCUCCUGGAACUCCAAUUUGAGAAGUUACCCUACGUUAAGCCAACAGCAGCCUGGCUCCUUCAUCCUGUGCAGUAUGGGACAGAGCUGGGUCCUUGUUGUCAUCAGCCAGACAAGCACACAUUAAAGCCCACCUUAGCCAUUGGCAUUACAGCUUUAAAAGCAGCUCCAUCCUACCAUGCUGUCACUCUACUCAAUCACGUGAUCUUAACGACCAGCUCUACAUAUCCUCUCUCCAUGCCCCCACCACCAUCCCCCACCAACAAAUCCGGUAAUCUAUCUCUGUCAAUAGUCCUGCAGUGAAUUCCGAAUAAGUUUUUCUCUUCCCUGGCCUGCCGUUUACGUAGUACCCUGGAUGAAUCUAUACUUACUCCAUAGUAAGUAGUACCUUGGAUGAAUCUAUACUUGCAUCCAAUGGAAAUGAGAGUGAUGGUGCAGAGUUAUCCGAAGUAACUCCAGCUAUGUUGUGGAUCUUCUAAUCAUGGGCUCAUCUAAGCCUUCCCAGAUAUCACUCUAGUUUUUACAAUCUUUGUUUAUGACAAUUAGGGCUGUAACAUUGGCUGUAGACAUUUGUUGCAUCAAGGAACUCAGCUUCCACUGAAGUUCUGAAGUUAAUCAGUUUCUGAUCUUGUUCUGCAACUCUCUGCAAGAAGAAAAAUCACCAGGAAAUAGUGCAUCCUGAAAGGAGUCAAAGUUUCCUUAUCCAGCUGGAGCAGUGUGAUCUCGGACCAGAGUCAAUUCCUUGCCCAACAGACUUCACAUUGAGCCAUGAGAAGCAGCCUACUUACCCUUACCUGGACACUUCUCCAAAACCUGUGAAAUGGCCUCUGUCACUGCCUCAAAGCCUCAUCCUUGAUUCUGCUAUCAGCUACAGGUCUGGGUUUGUGUCUCCGACAAAGAACCACCUCAAAGCCCCACAGAAAAGGACUGUACCGUAUACUUCAAACUAUUGACACCUCAAAGAACAGAGCUUGGGUUCAGGCUUCUGAUGCAUUCUGAGACACUCUCAGACCAUACCAGUGGGCUGGGUCAGGAUUUACAGAACUAUUUUCAUUUCAAGAGCAUACGGGCUCAUGAGAUUGCUAACUCAAGAUCCGGUGGAACAGAAAUACUUAUAUCGGAC